rnacentral:rRNA from 1 species
UACGUAGGGUGCGAGCGUUGUCCGGAAUUAUUGGGCGUAAAGAGCUUGUAGGUGGUUUGUCGCGUCUGCUGUGAAAAUCCGGGGCUCAACCCCGGACUUGCAGUGGGUACGGGCAGGCUAGAGUCCGGAAGAGGCGAGUGGAAUUCCUGGUGUAGCGGUGAAAUGCGCAGAUAUCAGGAGGAACACCAAUGGCGAAGGCAGCUCGCUGGGACGGUACUGACGCUGAGGCGCGAAAGCGUGGGGAGCAAACAGG